UACGGAGGGUGCAAGCGUUAUCCGGAUUCACUGGGUUUAAAGGGUGCGUAGGCGGGUUGGUAAGUCCGUGGUGAAAUCUCCAAGCUUAACUUGGAAACUGCCGUGGAUACUAUCAAUCUUGAAUAUCGUGGAGGUAAGCGGAAUAUGUCAUGUAGCGGUGAAAUGCUUAGAGAUGACAUAGAACACCAAUUGCGUAGGCAGCUUACUACACGAUCAUUGACGCUGAGGCACGAAAGCGUGGGGAGCAAACAGG
rnacentral:rRNA from 1 species